AUUGAACGCUGGCGGCAGUCCUAACACAUGCAAGUCGAACGGUAACAGGAAGAAGCUUGCUUCUUUGCUGACGAGUGGCGGACGGGUGAGUAAUGUCUGGGAAACUGCCUGAUGGAGGGGGAUAACUACUGGAAACGGUAGCUAAUACCGCAUAACGUCGCAAGACCAAAGAGGGGAACCUUCGGGCCUCUUGCCAUCGGAUGUGCCCAGAUGGGAUUAGCUAGUAGGUGGGGUAACGGCUCACCUAGGCGACGAUCCCUAGCUGGUCUGAGAGGAUGACCAGCCACACUGGAACUGAGACACGGUCCAGACUCCUACGGGAGGCAGCAGUGGGGAAUAUUGCACAAUGGGCGCAAGCCUGAUGCAGCCAUGCCGCGUGUAUGAAGAAGGCCUUCGGGUUGUAAAGUACUUUCAGCGGGGAGGAAGGGAGUAAAGUUAAUACCUUUGCUCAUUGACGUUACCCGCAGAAGAAGCACCGGCUAACUCCGUG
rnacentral:rRNA from 1 species